UACGGAGGAUCCAAGCGUUAUCCGGAUUUAUUGGGUUUAAAGGGUGCGUAGGCGGAUUGAUAAGUUAGAGGUGAAAUGUCCGAGCUCAACUCGGGAACUGCCUCUAAUACUGUUGAUCUAGAGAGUAGAUGCGGUAGGCGGAAUGUAUGGUGUAGCGGUGAAUGCUUAGAGAUCAUACAGAACACCGAUUGCGAAGGCAGCUUACCAAUCUAUAUCUGACGUUGAGGCACGAAAGCGUGGGGAGCAAACAGG
rnacentral:rRNA from 1 species